CUCGCGUACUGUCAUCAUAGGUGACAAGAUGACACUGCCCGUCAUUUCUUCUCGUCUGAGUCUGCAGGGAUUCCUGCUCGUCAUAUGAAACUCAUUCCGGUGAUGUUGACCAUCGUUUUGCCAUCUAUUAGGAAACUCCAGUCAGUCCAGCAGUGUGGUGACUCUGCUGGAUUGACUAGAAUGUAAGUACAUUAUUCACUCAAUCAGCUAUUUCUUAUCUGACUUCUUUCCACAUUAAAAUAUCUUUAUGGAUCUGAAUGGUACUUUCAGUGGUUCUGAUUCCAUAUUUCUUUCUUAACUCCCGUUUUCUGUUUGUGCGAUUACGUGAUGGAGCUCCAAGACUGAACCUCACUCACUAAGCUCUUUAUUAACAUGAGAAGCAUCAGAUCUGAAUCAUAUUUAGGACCAGGAGAAGGACCAGCUCUUCAAUUUUCUUGGGCUACUCAUGAUUUUUAAGUUACGGAACUCAUUCCAGUGAUAUUGACCAUCGUUUCACCAUCUAUUAGGACACUCCAGUCAGUUCAGUAGUGUGGUGACUCUGCUGGACAGACUGGCAUAUUCCAUACUUCUCUUUUUUCCUCUUUCUGUCCAUACAAUGGUCUGAUGGAGCUUCAAGCCUGAACGUCUCACAGGAAACUCGUCAUUGACACAGGUUCAUCUACAAGACCAAGAGAAGGAGCGGCUCGCGUACU